rnacentral:misc_RNA from 1 species
AAAAAAAAAAAAAAAAAAAAGGCGACGAGAGAGGAGAAGUUUUUGGGUGGACACCAAUCCACGGCCCGUUGUCACUCUCAACUGUUAAGCACAAUUCUUCAAUUUCUAUUUAGGGCUACUCUUUAAGGCCUUGUGUGGUUUUAAAGCCCCAUAGCUCUGCUUUUUAUGAUCUAUCUUUGAAGUCCAUCAGGCUGUCCAUACUCUCAGAUCUUAUAAAGUGAAUUUUUU